GAUGAAGAACGCAGCGAAAUGCGAUAAGUAGUGUGAAUUGCAGACUUUAGUGAAUCAUCGAAUCUUUGAACGCACAUUGCGCCCCUUGGUAUUCCAUGGGGCAUGCCUGUUCGAGCGUCAUUUGUACCUUCAAGCUCUGCUUGGUGUUGGGUGUUUGUCUCGCCUCUGCGUGUAGACUCGCCUCAAAACAAUUGGCAGCCGGCGUAUUGAUUUCGGAGCGCAGUACAUCUCGCGCUUUGCACUCAUAACGACGACGUCCAAAAGUACAUUUUUACACUCUUGACCUCGGAUCAGGUAGGGAUACCCGCUGAACUUAAGCAUAUCAAUAAGCGGAGGA
rnacentral:misc_RNA from 1 species